CUGACACUUUUUACAGCAUUUAAAGCCUCCACAGCUUCAGGAUAAAGGCCUUUGUGUGUAGCUAGAACAUAGAAUAUAUCUGCUUACAACCCAUGAAGAGGAAUUAACUUGAUUAAGGGGGUAGUUGUGAUAUUUAUGAAGAAAGAUUAAAGAAGUUAAAAUAUGUUCAGCUUGGCUAAAUGUUAAAUUAAGAUAGAGUUAGUGGGAAUAAAUUAGCACAAGUGCAGAGAAAUUUUAAAAGAUAUAUAAAAGGCCAUCUUGAUAUUUGUCAGUGCUCCAAGGAUACUCUCUAGCUUUUACAAGCUCCUCUCUCUUCAGGUAAAAUAAAAUUGGCAGUUCCUACUCAGGAGACAUUAUAUUAUUGUGAAGAAAAUCCAAUGACAGACAUUUAGGCCCUUAUUAUAUAUUUGCCACAACUAAUUUUCUUAUCUUGAAUCACAACUUGUAUAUUUUAUCACAAUUGUAAAACUGAAAUAACAUAUAGGAAGGCAGGAUAUAAAUCUUGGUAAUAAAAUGCUCACUGCAUCAUGGAAGCAGAAUAUCACAAGUUGAUCUACUAUUCCAUCACUAAACUGAGAAAGAAAAUGUUUAAUUUUAUUUGUCCCUUCUCAAUGCAUAAAGAAAUAGUAAGAGUAGCUACUGCUGCCCUAAAGUAAAAUGUUUGAAAUGUAAUGUAAGAGACACUUAGUAUGAAGAAAGCUGGCAAGUGAAUUUGUCUUCCUUUAUCCUAUGUUUCUCCAAUCUGGUGCCCAAGAAAUUUGUUGGAUUCUAUUUUCUGUAAACCCAGCUAGUUUGCUGAGAUUACUGAUUGCUUUGAACAAGUGACAAUAGGCAGCAGCUUACUCCUAGGCCUUUUUAUUUAACAACAGAAAUUGUGCAUGGACAGUGGGAAGAGAUACUGUACAUUUCGUUGCUUCAUCAAAAUAGUGCCAUUUAAUAUUUGUUCUUUUUGUUACUUCACCUUAAGUAUAACAUAAAAAUGCCUGUAUAAUAGCUGAUUUUUGUGAAAAUGCCUGAGAGCAGAUUUAUUAAUAUUGUAAAAGGCAGAUAUACUGUCACUGUACUUCUGAAGAACUGAAGCAGCCAUUAUAUGACAUGUUAUUCGUUUUAGAUAUUGCCCAAGAUUGAUGGACAGAGAUUACCAGAAAUAAAUUAAGAAAAGAUUAUUGGUAGGUCACCAUUUCAAUAAAGUAUUAUAAAGGCAUACUUCUUCAACAAGGAAAAUCAGCUUCUGCUUGUCUGAUGUGAGCAGCAGUAAAAAAGGGGUAUUAAGAAGUUGGCAUCUGCUCCUAGACAGUUUACAGAUUUCCUGGCAUCAGAGAUGGAGGAUUUUGUAUGAUGGGUCAAAGUGAAAGUUGACUUGUUUUUUUAUUUAUCCUACAUAUAUUAUAAAACUGUGAGGCUAAUGCUUACAAAGGAGAGGAGAAGUAGCAAGGAUGACC